UACGAAGGGGGCUAGCGUUGCUCGGAAUUACUGGGCGUAAAGCGUGCGCAGGCGGUCUUGCAAGACAGAUGUGAAAUCCCCGGGCUCAACCUGGGAACUGCAUUUGUGACUGCAAGGCUAGAGUACGGUAGAGGGGGAUGGAAUUCCGCGUGUAGCAGUGAAAUGCGUAGAUAUGCGGAGGAACACCGAUGGCGAAGGCAAUCCCCUGGACCUGUACUGACGCUCAUGCACGAAAGCGUGGGGAGCAAACAGG
rnacentral:rRNA from 1 species